GUGCCUAAUACAUGCAAGUCGAGCGAAUCUUUAGGAGCUUGCUCCUGAAGGUUAGCGGCGGACGGGUGAGUAACACGUGGGCAACCUGCCUGUAAGACUGGGAUAACUUCGGGAAACCGGAGCUAAUACCGGAUAAUCCUUUUCGACACAUGUCGGAGAGCUGAAAGUCGGUGCAAGCUGACACUUACAGAUGGGCCCGCGGCGCAUUAGCUAGUUGGUGAGGUAAUGGCUCACCAAGGCGACGAUGCGUAGCCGACCUGAGAGGGUGAUCGGCCACACUGGGACUGAGACACGGCCCAGACUCCUACGGGAGGCAGCAGUAGGGAAUCUUCCGCAAUGGACGAAAGUCUGACGGAGCAACGCCGCGUGA
rnacentral:rRNA from 1 species